rnacentral:tRNA from 3 species
GGGAGUGGUUGUGUCCCGGUGGACGCCCCAGUCUUCAAAACUGGCGGCCGGUUGCGCCGAGCAAGCGGCGGUGGGUUCGACUCCCAUCCAUUCCCG